rnacentral:rRNA from 1 species
AGUGAGCGGGAAAAGCUCAAUUUAAAUCUGGCAGUGUAUUCUGUCCGAGUUGUAGUCUAGAGAAGCAUCAUCCGUGCUGGACCAUGUACAAGUCUCUUGGAACAGAGUGUCAUAGAGGGUGAGAAUCCCGUCCUUGACAUGGACUCCCAGUACUUUGUGUUGUGCUCUCAACGAGUCGAGUUGUUUGGGAAUGCAGCUCAAAAUGGGUGGUAAAUUCCAUCUAAAGCUAAAUAUUGGCGAGAGACCGAUAGCGAACAAGUACCGUGAGGGAAAGAUGAAAAGCACUUUGGAGAGAGAGUUAAACAGUACGUGAAAUUGUUGAAAUGGAAACGCUUGAAGUCAGUCGCGUUCUCUGGGAUUCAGCCUGGCUUUUGCUUGGUGCAUUUCCCGGUCUACGGGCCAGCAUGAAUUUUGACCAAUGGAAAAAGGCUUGGGGAAUGUGGCACCUUCGGGUGUGUUAUAGCCCCUUGUCACAUACGUUGGUUGGGAUUGAGGUCUUAGUGCACGCUUCGGUUGUGCUUUGAUGCUGGCGUAAUGGCUUUAAACGACCCGUCUUGAAACACGGACCAAGGAGUCUAACAUGUCUGCGAGUGUUUGGGUGCAAAACCCGAGCGCGAAAUGAAAGUGAUAGUUGGGAACCUCUUUAGAGGGGCACCGACGCCCGGACCAGACCUUCUGUGACGGAUCCGAGGUAGAGCAUAUAUGUUGGGACCCGAAAGAUGGUGAACUAUGCCUGCAUAGGGUGAAGCCAGAGGAAACUCUGGUGGAGGCUCGUAGCGAUUCUGACGUGCAAAUCGAUCGUCAAAUGUGGGUAUAGGGGCGAAAGACUAAUCGAACCAUCUAGUAGCUGGUUCCCUGCCGAAGUUUCC